rnacentral:rRNA from 1 species
AGCGAACGCUGGCGGCAGGCCUAACACAUGCAAGUGGAACGAACCUUUCGGGGUUAGUGGCGGACGGGUGAGUAACACGUGGGAACGUGCCUUUAGGUUCGGAAUAACUCAGGGAAACUUGUGCUAAUACCGAAUGUGCCCUUCGGGGGAAAGAUUUAUCGCCUUUAGAGCGGCCCGCGUCUGAUUAGCUAGUUGGUUGAGGUAAUGGCUCACCAAGGCGACGAUCAGUAGCUGGUCUGAGAGGAUGAUCAGCCACAUUGGGACUGAGACACGGCCCAAACUCCUACGGGAGGCAGCAGUGGGGAAUCUUGCGCAAUGGGCGAAAGCCUGACGCAGCCAUGCCGCGUGAAUGAUGAAGGUCUUAGGAUUGUAAAAUUCUUUCACCGGGGACGAUAAUGACGGUACCCGGAGAAGAAGCCCCGGCUAACUUCGUG